GAUGAACGCUGGCGGCGUGCCUAAUACAUGCAAGUCGAGCGAACAGACGAGGAGCUUGCUCCUCUGACGUUAGCGGCGGACGGGUGAGUAACACGUGGAUAACCUACCUAUAAGACUGGGAUAACUUCGGGAAACCGGAGCUAAUACCGGACAAUAUAUUGAACCGCAUGGUUCAAUAGUGAAAGACGGUUUUGCUGUCACUUAUAGAUGGAUCCGCGCCGCAUUAGCUAGUUGGUAAGUUAACGGCUUACCAAGGCAACGAUGCGUAGCCGACCUGAGAGGGUGAGCGGCCACACUGGAACUGAGACACGGUCCAGACUCCUACGGGAGGCAGCAGUAGGGAAUCUUACGCAAUGGGCGAAAGCCUGACGGAGCAACGCCGCGUGAGUGAUGAAGGUCUUCGGAUCGUAAAACUCUGUUAUUAGGGAAGAACAAAUGUGUAAGUAACUAUGCACGUAUUGACGGUACCUAAUCAGAAAGCCACGGCUAACUACGUG
rnacentral:rRNA from 1 species